rnacentral:rRNA from 1 species
AUUGAACGCUGGCGGCAGGCCUAACACAUGCAAGUCGAACGAGUGGCGGACGGGUGAGUAAUGUCUGGGAAACUGCCUGAUGGAGGGGGCUAACUACUGGAAACGGUAGCUAAUACCGCAUACCAUUGGCUGUGACCAGAUGGGAUUAGCUAGUAGGUGGGGUAAAGGCUCACCUAGGCGACGAUCCCUAGCUGGGCUUAGAGGAUGACCAGCAACACUGGAACUGCGACACGGUCCAGACUCCUACGGGAGGCAGCCGUGGGGAAUAUUGCACAAUGGGCGGAAGCCUGAUGCAGCCAUGCCGCGUGUAUGAAGAAGGCCUUCGGGUUGUAAAGUACUUUCAGCGGGGAGGCGUUACCCGCAGAAGAAGCACCGGCUAACUCCGUGCCAGCCGCCGCGGUAAUAC